CAACAACUCUGAUCCUUUUGCGGCAUUCUGUCCUUAUCUGAAAGUUGGCAAAUUCCAAUUGAGACUUCUAAAAGGUUAAUGUACCUAAAGUGUUCUAGAGGUAAAUGCAAAUGGAGAGAAGCUCAUGUUACUCAGUAUAGAUCAAAGUCAGUGAAUGAAGGAGGUUGCAACAAGAUUCCUGGACUUUGACCGACAAUCAGAGAAUCAAUGGCUAUGUCCAAAAAAGUCCGUCCACUGAAUGCUAAGAUCUACUGCAGUAGAGACAAAGUACUUAUGGUGCAGUUUGGAUUCUGCAUUUUCUUCAAGAACCAGAAAAAAAGCACCUGUGAUCUUGUCUACUUGUCUAACAGAUUUACAGCUACUGGAAUUAAACUUGUGAUUGUCUUAGUUAAUAGCACUAAGGGUGACAAUUCGUUUAUACCUAAUGGUAGAAUGUUCAAAUAAUUGAUGUUAGAUAAAAAUUAUACUGAAGAAUAAUUUCUUAAUUCUUUCUCUCCUUUUUCUCUGCUUAAAAACAAAUUGCUCUUAAGUAUCAAAUUGUUCUAUUUGGAAGAAAUAAAUGUGUG
rnacentral:lncRNA from 1 species